rnacentral:rRNA from 1 species
UAAGGCUGAUGGCGACCGGCGCACGGGUGAGUAACACGUAUGCAACCUGCCGUCUACUCUUGGCCAGCCUUCUGAAAGGAGGAUUAAUCCAGGAUGGGAUCAUGAGUUCACAUGUCCGCAUGAUUAAAGGUAUUUUCCGGUAGACGAUGGGGAUGCGUUCCAUUAGAUAGUAGGCGGGGUAACGGCCCACCUAGUCAACGAUGGAUAGGGGUUCUGAGAGGAAGGUCCCCCACAUUGGAACUGAGACACGGUCCAAACUCCUACGGGAGGCAGCAGUGAGGAAUAUUGGUCAAUGGGCGAUGGCCUGAACCAGCCAAGUAGCGUGAAGGAUGACUGCCCUAUGGGUUGUAAACUUCUUUUAUAAAGGAAUAAAGUCGGGUAUGCAUACCCGUUUGCAUGUACUUUAUGAAUAAGGAUCGGCUAACUCCGUGCCAGCAGCCGCGGUAAUACGGAGGAUCCGAGCGUUAUCCGGAUUUAUUGGGUUUAAAGGGAGCGUAGAUGGAUGUUUAAGUCAGUUGUGAAAGUUUGCGGCUCAACCGUAAAAUUGCAGUUGAUACUGGAUGUCUUGAGUGCAGUUGAGGCAGGCGGAAUUCGUGGUGUAGCGGUGAAAUGCUU